AGUGAACGCUGGCGGCAUGCCUUACACAUGCAAGUCGAACGGCAGCACGGGAGCUUGCUCCUGGUGGCGAGUGGCGAACGGGUGAGUAAUACAUCGGAACGUACCCAGGAGUGGGGGAUAACGUAGCGAAAGUUACGCUAAUACCGCAUAUUCUGUGAGCAGGAAAGCGGGGGAUCGCAAGACCUCGCGCUCUUGGAGCGGCCGAUGUCGGAUUAGCUAGUUGGUGAGGUAAAAGCUCACCAAGGCGACGAUCCGUAGCAGGUCUGAGAGGAUGAUCUGCCAGACUGGGACUGAGACACGGCCCAGAGUCCUACGGGAGGCAGCAGUGGGGAAUUUUGGACAAUGGGGGCAACCCUGAUCCAGCCAUGCCGCGUGAGUGAAGAAGGCCUUCGGGUUGUAAAGCUCUUUCGGCGGGGAAGAAAUGGCAACGGCUAAUAUCCGUUGUUGAUGACGGUACCCGCAUAAGAAGCACCGGCUAACUACGUGCCAGCAGCCGCCGCCGUAA
rnacentral:rRNA from 1 species